rnacentral:rRNA from 1 species
GUGUCAGCCGCCGCGGUAAGACGGAGGGGGCAAGCGUUGUCCGGAAUCACUGGGCGUAAAGCGCACGUAGGUUGUCGUGUGCGUCGAUGCUGAAAGCGCCGGGCUUAACCCGGCGAGGUGCAGCGAUACGACACGACUGGAGGCAGGGAGAGGGUGGCGGAAUUCCGGGUGUAGUGGUGAAAUGCGUAGAGAUCCGGAGGAACGCCAGUGACGAAGGUGGCCACCUGGCCCUGACCUGACACUGAGGUGCGACAGCGUGGGGAGCGAACCGGAUUAGAUACCCGCGUAGUCC